UACGAAGGGGGCUAGCGUUGCUCGGAAUCACUGGGCGUAAAGGGUGCGUAGGCGGGUUUUUAAGUCAGGGGUGAAAUCCUGGAGCUCAACUCCAGAACUGCCUUUGAUACUGAAGAUCUUGAGUCCGGGAGAGGUGAGUGGAACUGCGAGUGUAGAGGUGAAAUUCGUAGAUAUUCGCAAGAACACCAGUGGCGAAGGCGGCUCACUGGCCCGGUACUGACGCUGAGGCACGAAAGCGUGGGGAGCAAACAGGGAUUA
rnacentral:rRNA from 1 species